rnacentral:rRNA from 1 species
UACGAAGGGUGCAAGCGUUACUCGGAAUUACUGGGCGUAAAGCGUGCGUAGGUGGUGAGUUAAGUCUGUCGUGAAAGCCCCGGGCUCAACCUGGGAAUGGCGAUGGAUACUGGCUCGCUAGAGUGCGGAAGAGGCGAGUGGAAUUCCUGGUGUAGCGGUGAAAUGCGCAGAUAUCAGGAGGAACACCAAUUGCGAAGGCAGCUCGCUGGGACGUGACUGACGCUGAGACGCGAAAGCGUGGGGAGCAAACAGG